AUGUACCCACGUACACUCCGGUUCCUCCGCACUGUCCGCACCCACCUGACGACUGCUCGCUACGUUUUGUUAGCC
rnacentral:sRNA from 1 species